rnacentral:rRNA from 1 species
AGAAUUUGAUCUUGGUUCAGGAUGAACGCUGGCGGCGUGCUUAACACAUGCAAGUCGAACGGAGAUAUUUGAAAGCUUGCUUUAGAUAUCUUAGUGGCGGACGGGUGAGUAACGCGUGGGUAACCUACCCUGUACAGGGGGAUAGCAGUUGGAAACGACUGAUAAAACCGCAUAAAACGGCAGUACCGCAUGGUACAACCGUCAAAUAUUCAUAGGUACAGGAUGGGCCCGCGUCUGAUUAGCUAGUUGGUGGGGCAACGGCCUACCAAGGCGACGAUCAGUAGCCGGCCUGAGAGGGUGAACGGCCACAUUGGGACUGAGACACGGCCCAAACUCCUACGGGAGGCAGCAGUGGGGAAUAUUGGACAAUGGGGGAAACCCUGAUCCAGCGACGCCGCCGUGAGUGAAGAAGUAUUUCGGUAUGUAAAGCUCUAUCAGCAGGGAAGAUGAUGACGGUACCUGACUAAGAAGCACCGGCUAAAUACGUGCCAGCAGCAGC